GUGAGGAAUAUUGCGCAAUGGAGGCAACUCUGACGCGGCCAUGCCGCGUGCAGGAAGAAGGCGCUACGCGUUGUAAACUGCUUUUAACCGGGAAGAAACCCCAGGACGUGUCCUGGGUUGACGGUACCGGAGGAAUAAGCACCGGCUAACUUCGUGCCAGCAGCCGCGGUAAUACGAAGGGUGCAAGCGUUAUCCGGAUUCAUUGGGUUUAAAGGGUGCGUAGGCGGAGCGUUAAGUCAGUGGUGAAAUCCUGCAGCUUAACUGUAGACUUGCCAUUGAUACUGGCGCGCUUGAGUGCGCUUGAAGUGGGCGGAAUGUGCCGUGUAGCGGUGAAAUGCUUAGAUAUGGCACAGAACACCAAUUGCGAAGGCAGCUCACUAAGGCGAUACUGACGCUGAGGCACGAAAGCGUGGGGAUCGAACAGGAUUAGAAACCCCGGUAGUCC
rnacentral:rRNA from 1 species